AGGACGAACGCUGGCGGCGUGCUUAACACAUGCAAGUCGAGCGGAAAGGCCCUUCGGGGUACUCGAGCGGCGAACGGGUGAGUAACACGUGAGCAACCUGCCCUUAGCUCUGGGAUAGCUCCGGGAAACCGGAAUUAAUACCGGAUAUUACACCGGCUGGCAUCGGCUGGUGUGGAAAGAUUUAUCGGCUAAGGAUGGACUCGCGGCCUAUCAGCUUGUUGGUGGGGUAGAAGCCUACCAAGGCGACGACGGGU
rnacentral:rRNA from 1 species